rnacentral:misc_RNA from 1 species
UUUCCGUAGGUGAACCUGCGGAAGGAUCAUUAGUGAAUUGAAUAUGUUAGCGGACCUAUUCGGAGUCCCUAGCAUCAAUUCAUAUCCAUAACACCUGUGAACUGUAAGGCUGUAUUGAAAACGAAAGUGAUUAGAGCGCAUGCCCUUUAUAUCCAAACACUAAAGUCACAAACGUAGUCUUCUUAUAAUCUAAUAAAACUUUCAACAACGGAUCUCUUGGCUCUC